rnacentral:rRNA from 1 species
AAUGAACGCUGGCGGCAUGCCUAACACAUGCAGGUCGAACGAAGGCUUCGGCCUUAGUGGCGCACGGGUGCGUAACGCGUGGGAAUCUGCCCUUGGGUUCGGAAUAACAGUUAGAAAUGACUGCUAAUACCGGAUGAUGUCGUAAGACCAAAGAUUUAUCGCCCAAGGAUGAGCCCGCGUAGGAUUAGCUAGUUGGUGGGGUAAAGGCCUACCAAGGCGACGAUCCUUAGCUGGUCUGAGAGGAUGAUCAGCCACACUGGGACUGAGACACGGCCCAGACUCCUACGGGAGGCAGCAGUGGGGAAUAUUGGACAAUGGGCGAAAGCCUGAUCCAGCAAUGCCGCGUGAGUGAUGAAGGCCUUAGGGUUGUAAAGCUCUUUUACCCGGGAUGAUAAUGACAGUACCGGGAGAAUAAGCUCCGGCUAACUUCGUG